rnacentral:rRNA from 1 species
UAGUGGCAGACGGGUGAGUAACGCGUGGGAACGUACCCUUUGGUUCGGAACAACACAGGGAAACUUGAGCUAAUACCGGAUAAGCCCUUAGGGGCAAAGAUUUAUCGCCCAAGGAUGGGCCCGCGUCGGAUUAGCUAGUUGGUGAGGUAAUGGCUCACCAAGGCGACGAUCAGUACCUGGUCUGAGAGGAUGAUCAGCCACACUGGGACUGAGACACGGCCCAGACUCCUACGGGAGGCAGCAGUGGGGAAUAUUGCACAAUGGGCGCAAGCCUGAUCCAGCCAUGCCGCGUGAGUGAUGAAGGCCUUAGGGUUGUAAAGCUCUUUUACCCGGGAAGAUAAUGACGGUACCGGAAGAAUAAGCUCC